rnacentral:rRNA from 1 species
GACGAACGCUGGCGGCGUGCUUAACACAUGCAAGUCGAACGGAAAGGCCCUGCUUUUGUGGGGUGCUCGAGUGGCGAACGGGUGAGUAACACGUGAGUAACCUGCCCUUGACUUUGGGAUAACUUCAGGAAACUGGGGCUAAUACCGGAUAGGAGCUCCUGCUGCAUGGUGGGGGUUGGAAAGUUUCGGCGGUUGGGGAUGGACUCGCGGCUUAUCAGCUUGUUGGUGGGGUAGUGGCUUACCAAGGCUUUGACGGGUAGCCGGCCUGAGAGGGUGACCGGCCACAUGGGGACGGAGAUACGGCCCAGACUCCUACGGGAGGCAGCAGUGGGGAAUAUUGCACAAUGGGCGGAAGCCUUAUGCAGCAACGCCGCGUGCGGGAUGACGGCCUUCGGGUUGUAAACCGCUUUCGCAUGUGACGAAGCGUGAGUGACGGUAAUGGGUAAAGAAGCACCGGCUAACUACGU